AAUGAACGCUGGCGGUAGGCUUAACACAUGCAAGUCGGACGGAAACGAUGAAGUGCUUGCACUUCAGGCGUCGAGUGGCGGACGGGUGAGUAACGCGUGGGAAUCUACCCUAUAGUUGGGGACAACAUAUGGAAACGUAUGCUAAUACCGAAUGUGCUCUAAGGAGUAAAGGAGCCCUCUUCUUGAAAGGUUUCGCUAUAGGAUGAGCCCGCGUGAGAUUAGCUAGUUGGUAAGGUAAUGGCUUACCAAGGCAACGAUCUCUAGCUGGUUUGAGAGGAUGAUCAGCCACACUGGGACUGAGACACGGCCCAGACUCCUACGGGAGGCAGCAGUGGGGAAUAUUGCACAAUGAGCGAAACCCUGAUCCAGCAAUACCACGUGUGUGAAGAAGGCCCGAGGGUUGUAAAGCACUUUAGUCAGGGAGAAGGUUCAUAUGUUAAUAGCAUAUGGAAUUGACGUUA
rnacentral:rRNA from 1 species